rnacentral:rRNA from 1 species
GUGCCAGCAGCCGCGGUAAUACGGAGGGUGCAAGCGUUAAUCGGAAUUACUGGGCGUAAAGCGCGCGUAGGUGGUUUGAUAAGCGAGAUGUGAAAGCCCCGGGCUCAACCUGGGAACGGCAUUUCGAACUGUCAGGCUAGAGUAUGGUAGAGGAGUGUGGAAUUUCCUGUGUAGCGGUGAAAUGCGUAGAUAUAGGAAGGAACACCAGUGGCGAAGGCGGCACUCUGGACCAAUACUGACACUGAGGUGCGAAAGCGUGGGGAGCAAAACAGGAUUAGAUACCCUGGUAGUCCACGCUGUAAACGAUGUCAACUAGCCGUUGGGACUCUUGAAGUCUUAGUGGCGCAGCUAACGCACUAAGUUGACCGCCUGGGGAGUACGGCCCGCAAGGUUUAAAACUCAAAUGAAUUGACGG